GGUCUGUGUCCUACCUUUUAAUAAAUUCCCUGUGGUUCUCUGGUCUGAGCUCUGCCGGGUGCAGAGCUGCAGACCGUGUAAUAAAAGUCUCAUGAGCUCCCAGAGUGUUGCCAUUGUAACACUCUGGGUGCUCGCAAGACUUCGAUCACACAGUCUGCAGCUCUGCACCCGGCGCAGCUGCAGACCGGAGGUGCUGGGCAGACUGAUUGGAGGGAGCCCGGCGGUAUACAGGGCAAGCCGCCAGGCUCCCUCCUGGUGUCGGGCCCGCGGUCACGGACCGAGAGCCCGACUAAUCAGUCUGCCUGACUAGCCGGCGGCCCUGCAUGUGUGGGUCAGCGUGACCCACUGGGGAUCGCCCUGCGACCCACACUUUG